rnacentral:rRNA from 1 species
GGAAAUAAAAAAAAAUUUAUUUAUUCCUUCCGUAGGUGAACCUGCGGAAGGAUCAUUA